AAUUCAACCGUAAUCACAUAAAACAAACAAAACAUGCAUCAGGGAAUACAAUCACAUAUUAGUUUCUCAAUUUAACAGUAAUCACAUAAGGCAGCAAUACAUGCAUUCAAAAUUCUAAAAUCGAUCAAUCAGAUAUUAUCAUGCAUUCAAACUGUAAAAUAAAUCAACAAAAAUCAACAAAGAAUAAUUUUCAGUUCUGGCUCCAUU
rnacentral:lncRNA from 1 species